rnacentral:rRNA from 1 species
UUUGGAUCAUGGCUCAAAUUGAACGCUGGCGGCAGGCCUCCUUCAUGCAAGUCGAGCGGAUGACGGGAGCUUGCUCCUUGAUUCACCGGCGGACGGGUGAGUAAUGCCUAGGAAUCUGCCUGGUAGGGGGGGACAACGUUUCAAAAGGAACGCUAAUACCGCAUACGUCCUACGGGAAAAAGCAGGGGACCUUCGGGCCUUGCGCUAUCAAAUGACCCUAGGUCGAAUUACCUAGUUGGGGGGGUAAUGGCUCACCAAGGCGACAAUCCGUAACUGGUCUGAGAGGAUGAUCAGUCACACUGGAACUGAAACACGGUCCAAACUCCUACGGGAGGCAGCAGUGGGAAAUAUUGGACAAUGGGCAAAAGCCUGAUCCAGCCAUGCCGCGUGUGUGAAGAAGGUCUUCGGAUUGUAAAGCAUUUUAAGUUGGGAGGAAGGGCAGUAAGUUAAUACCUUGCUGUUUUGACGUUACCGACAAAAUAACCACCGGCUAACUCUGUGCCAG